GGAGCCGUGCCUGAAGAAAGGACCACUUUGAUAGAGUGACUCAUGGGGGUUAGAGUCCCCCCAGCUCCU
rnacentral:tRNA from 1 species